rnacentral:rRNA from 1 species
CAGCAGCCGCGGUAAUACGUAGGGUGCGAGCGUUAAUCGGAAUUACUGGUCGUAAAGCGUGCGCAGGCGGUUGUGUAAGACAGGUGUGAAAUCCCCGGGCUUAACCUGGGAACUGCGCUCGUGACUGCACAGCUAGAGUAUGGCAGAGGGGGGUGGAAUUCCACGUGUAGCAGUGAAAUGCGUAGAGAUGUGGAGGAACACCGAUGGCGAAGGCAGCCCCCUGGACCAAUACUGACGCUCAUGCACGAAAGCGUGGGGAGCAAACAGGAUUAGAGACCCCUGUAGUCCCUGUCUCUUAUAC